AUUGAACGCUGGCGGCAGGCCUAACACAUGCAAGUCGAGCGGACGAAGGGAGCUUGCUCCUGGAUUCAGCGGCGGACGGGUGAGUAAUGCCUAGGAAUCUGCCUGGCAGUGGGGGAUAACGUCCGGAAACGGGCGCUAAUACCGCAUACGUCCUGAGGGUGAAAGUGGGGGAUCUUCGGACCUCACGCUAUCAGAUGUGCCUAGGUCGGAUUAGCUAGUUGGUGGGGUAAAGGCCUACCAAGGCGACGAUCCGUAACUGGUCUGAGAGGAUGAUCAGUCACACUGGAACUGAGACACGGUCCAGACUCCUACGGGAGGCAGCAGUGGGGAAUAUUGGGCAAUGGGCGAAAGCCUGAUCCAGCCAUGCCGCGUGUGUGAAGAAGGUCUUCGGAUUGUAAAGCACUUUAAGUUGGGAGGAAGGGCAGUAAGUUAAUACCUUGCUGUUUUGACGUUACCAACAGAAUAAGCACCGGCUAACUUCGUG
rnacentral:rRNA from 1 species